AGUUAAUCGUUUGCCGCGCUGACUAGGCCUGCCGUCGGCGGAUCGUUGCCAUUCGCGACGACACGAUGCUUUUUUACACGUGGUUCAACGGGGUCAUCCGCAGUGCAUAAAAAAUCGAUCAUCAACGAGAAAUAAAAAUUCAAUCAAUACAACGAUCACUAAUUUCUCCGUGGACGACACGAGGCGACGCGAACCGAGGCACAGCAAGCAUAAAGUCUCCGCGCGUCAUGGAGAAAUGAACGAUACAACGGUGGCGCGGCGAUGUUCGGCUCGAGGGAGGAGUGAAAUCGCGACCGAUCGCGCAACAAUGGAGAUCACACUGUCCGAGGCAUCUCCGGCGGGAACCCUUGCGGACAUCCGAAUCCGCCAUCUCCGAAUCCGUCCAGCCACUCAUCCGUCGAGACCGGCGGGGACCGAGCGAGAAGGGAAAAAAAGAGAGCCAAACCGACUGCCAUCCUUCACUGUCAUGGCCAGUAACACCGUUACGUAGCCAUUAAGGCGCGUUCACACUUCACCGUACCCGUGAAACGAUUCCGGCCGGGAAAUCUGUGCAGGCACAGAGGACUCGUCUGACAGCGUGUCGAGGUACGACAAGUGACGAUUCGAGUGUCCCCCGAUAGCGACAGUAUCCUGAGGAGCAAGGCGCUAGACGAUAAUGACGACGGCGGCGGCGAGAACGACGGGAACGGCAAGCGGAACAGCGUGAGCUGGAGAGGAAAGACACAGGGAGAGGAUUGCAAGGCGUCGCGGCGCUGGUCGG